GACGAACGCUGGCGGCGUGCUUAACACAUGCAAGUCGAACGGAAAGGCCCUGCUUUUGUGGGGUGCUCGAGUGGCGAACGGGUGAGUAACACGUGAGUAACCUGCCCUUGACUUUGGGAUAACUUCAGGAAACUGGGGCUAAUACCGGAUAGGAGCUCCUGCUGCAUGGCGGGGGUUGGAAAGUUUCGGCGGUUGGGGAUGGACUCGCGGCUUAUCAGCUUGUUGGUGGGGUAGUGGCUUACCAAGGCUUUGACGGGUAGCCGGCCUGAGAGGGUGACCGGCCACAUUGGGACUGAGAUACGGCCCAGACUCCUACGGGAGGCAGCGGUGGGGAAUAUUGCACAAUGGGCGGAAGCCUGAUGCAGCAACGCCGCGUGCGGGAUGACGGCCUUCGGGUUGUAAACCGCUUUCGCCUGUGACGAAGCGUGAGUGACGGUAAUAGGUAAAGAAGCACCGGCUAACUACGUG
rnacentral:rRNA from 1 species